rnacentral:lncRNA from 1 species
UUUUUAAUUGUAAUUUACAUGAGUAUCUAUGUGGUCAGGAUAGACCAAAAUCUGAUAUAACCUGAAUAAUUGAGAAUUUCAAAAGUGUCUUUUCAGUCAAAAUUUGACUCGUGGCCUCAAUCGACUUAUGUGGUAGCAUCCGAGGGGAGUAGAGGAAAGGUGCCUGCAGUUCUAAAAUGACAACGGCUUGACGUUAAGGGCCGCUUGAAGUUGCUUUUCAUUAUGGUGCUUAAAUAUGAAAUCAUGAGUUGAUAAGAAGGAUGCCUGAAUUAAAACGUCGGAACUUCAAAUUAAAGCACACUCGCUUCAUCUUCCCUUAGCCCACCGUUUCCUUCUCUUCCCCUCACCCCUCCAGACCAUACAAAUCCCAUAACAAACCAGAACCCUAGCAAAAUUCAAUUCAUCUCUCAAUCUCACUUCUCUCUCUCGAGAUCUGGAACCCUAGCUUCCUCCAUCGCCCUCCAAUCGGACGACAAAGAACCGGAGAUGAAAAAAAAUGACGAUCAAAUCGAAGGUGAACACCGAUUUCUGAGAAACCCGAACGGAUUUGCAGGUGUUAUACGUAAUAGGCUGGUCUCCCCUUAGCAUCAUAGAGUCUCGCAAGCUUUGGGAUGCAUUUAUCUGUUGAACAAUUUUUCUCUUUUUAUUCCGAUCCGCCUGUGGAUCUAUUUCGACUACUUGUGAUACUUUAAUAUUACAUUUGAUGGUUGAAAUAAAUCUAUUUCUUUUU